ACGCUCGACACCUACGAGAGGCAGCAGUGGGGAAUAUUGCACAAUGGGGGAAACCCUGAUGCAGCAACGCCGCGUGAAGGAAGACGGUUUUCGGAUUGUAAACUUCUGUUCUUAGUGAAGAUAGUGACGGUAGCUAAGGAGCAAGCCACGGCUAACUACGUGCCAGCAGCCGCGGUAAUCUGAGCGGCUGGCAAGGC
rnacentral:rRNA from 1 species